rfam:Sphingobacteriales bacterium 40-81 SCNpilot_expt_1000_bf_scaffold_562, whole genome shotgun sequence.
AUGGCAGCGAUGCCAUAUCUGAAGUAAGCGGGACUACAACUGCCUGUACUGACGAACAGGAACUGCAUAAGAGGCAUAAUGGAUUUGGAUAAGUAUGCACAUCAAUACAAAGUCCUGAAAGAACAGGUGGUUCAUUAUGUAGAUGCAGCAGCGAUAGGCAGAAGGCUAUUGAU